rnacentral:tRNA from 5 species
GUCCCCAUCGUCUAGAGGCCCAGGACACUGCCCUUUCACGGCGGUAACAGGGGUUCGAAUCCCCUUGGGGACGCCA